rnacentral:rRNA from 1 species
UCCAAGGCCAAAAACAGUGUGGCCUUGGAGCGCACCGAGCGAGAGAAGCAGGAGGCGCGGGUGGUGGAGGUGCGGCAAGAGCUCCAGGCUCUCGUGGAGAAACACGAGAGUUUGGAGCAUGACUCGAAGACUCGAGAGUACGAGCUCGCCUUGGCUCUUGAGAGUGCCAAAACCGCUAAGGCCGAAGCCCAGAAGGCCCUCCAGGAGAUCGAGGCGAUAAAGAAGAUAAGCUCUCCAGGAGCGUUUGCCGAUCUGCCCCAUAGUGUGUCUGAUGAUGCCGCGUUCUACCGAGCCGAGGAGGGGAGCUCGACGGAAAAGGUGUUCUGGUCUCAAUAUGCUGAGGCCGGACAUCCGGUGCCCCUGAGCGACCAGCUGAAGCAGCUGGUCGAGCUCCAUAAGGUGGCCGAACAGGCCAUGAAGGGCCUCAUAGUUCGGCUGUGGCCUAGAGAAGCCAUGCUUGGGAGCUACUUCAGUCUGGUGCGGCGGCUGGUGGACGCCUGUCCAUGGAUUGAAGUCAUCAAGCGCUCCGUCUGUAUUGAAGGUUCCCGUCGGGCCCUUGCCCGUGCUGAAGUGCACUGGGGCAAGAUGGACGCCGAGAAGCUUGUGACGGACGCACCACCGCCGGGCAAGGAGCAUUGCAAGCCCGAGAUGUAUUAUGAGGGCGUCCUGAAGGGUGCCCGCCUUAUAGCGGGUGAAUGCUCCAAAGAUGUAAUUUUUGAGUAG